GACGUAGGGAGCAAGCGUUGUCCGGAUUUAUUGGGCGUAAAGAGCUCGUAGGCGGUUGCGUAAGUCGGAUGUGAAAACUCAGGGCUCAACCCUGAGACGCCAUCCGAUACUGCGCUGACUUGAAUCCAGUAGGGGAGUGUGGAAUUCCUGGUGUAGCGGUGAAAUGCGCAGAUAUCAGGAGGAACACCUAUGGCGAAGGCAGCACUCUGGGCUGGUAUUGACGCUGAGGAGCGAAAGCAUGGGUAGCAAACAGGAUUAGAUACCCUGGUAGUCCAUGCCGUAAACGUUGGGCACUAGGUGUGGGGACUUUCAACGGUUUCCGUGCCGACGCUAACGCAUUAAGUGCCCCGCCUGGGGAGUACGGCCGCAAGGCUAAA
rnacentral:rRNA from 1 species